rnacentral:rRNA from 1 species
UACGUAGGGAGCAAGCGUUGUUCGGAUUUACUGGGCGUAAAGGGCGCGUAGGCGGUCAGCACAAGUCAGUUGUGAAAUCUCCGAGCUUAACUCGGAAAGGUCAACUGAUACUGUGCGACUAGAGUGCAGAAGGGGCAACUGGAAUUCUCGGUGUAGCGGUGAAAUGCGUAGAUAUCGAGAGGAACACCUGCGGCGAAGGCGGGUUGCUGGGCUGACACUGACGCUGAGGCGCGAAAGCUAGGGGAGCGAACGGG